rnacentral:lncRNA from 1 species
GAAGGUUGUGACAAUCCUAAUGUCUCAUCUGGUAAGUUUGCAAAUAAAAGCUCUUGAGUUGAAUCUACUAGUUCUUGGUGCUCCAUCUCAUCACAAAUACACAAAAGCUACAAUGAAAGAUAAAAGGUAGAAUGUUAUUUUCUUUUGAUCUUGUUUCUUUUAUAGCAAAGGUUUGUUAUUCUUCAUCUUAGUUUUGAUGGAUGUUGUUGAUGAAAGACUUCAAC